CGGUUCCAACAAGUCUUGCCCAACUUUAGAUAACAAUAGCAGGCGAGCGAGACCACGCGCGCUGGGCGCAGCACCAUGCGAUCGCGAGCCUCCCGAGCCAGCCAGCAGUUUUUCAUCGUUCCGAGCCGCUGACGAGCUCGGACUAACCAGAGGCCAGUUGAAUUCGACGGCGCGGUACCAUGGUCGGAGAUGAUUCCACGAUUGGUUCGCGGUGCCGAGGACCCGGAGCCUUAAACUGGGUGCUCGGCCGGUGGAUGCCACGGUUCACUCUGGUCGUUCUUCGAUUGCAAGAAGCUCGAGGCUUCCCUCUCGACGACUCGAGAAUCUCUCUGAAAGCUCGCGGCACAACCGCAGCCCGGUUCUGGGUCGCGGACGGUGCAGAGGGUUCACAAACCGCGGUCGCGGCAGCGCGGGAGAUUCAAAAUCGGCGGCGGCUGGCGGGACGGGCCACGCGAGACUGCAUUCGCAGAAGGAGCGUACUUCAAACUGGCGCCAUGAGAUUCGACGGGGACGCAGAUAGCCCUGUCAACCCUCUUCAGAGCGCAAGGGCCACCCUCCGAGGAACACGAUCGUCCCGCGAUGCCUUUCCAACGCCUCCCACCCCGGAGACGAUCAAGAGAAUCCCUUCGGGAGAUACACGCGUCAGCAGAAGACACCGAAACCGUCCGGGUAGAGAUCGAUUCAGGAACCGAUCGGCGAAUCCUGUGACGAGUCGUGGCCGUUAUCCUUGCUUCCAAGGAAAUGAACGAUUACGCUCCGGCGAUUCGAUAAAAAAAAGGUGUCGAGCGUGUAAAUCGCGGUGUAAAACGACGCUCCGGCAUUCCGCUAUCAGCGCUUUCGAUUGCGCCGAUCGGGCAUCGUGUCCCUCGUUUGUUCCGGUUGUCCGCGCGUACCGUGGAACAUUUUCGACGUUCGCAGCAAACAGUGGAAUUUUUUCGCUGGAUCUCGCUUGUUAAACGCAGCGGAACAAUCGGGUCACGCUGCUGGACCGAAAGUUUGGAAGCAUUCGUUGAUUUUCAGCGUACUUCAGCGUCGCCGUAGAUGCUUUCCACUGGAAGCGGUUCGUAGGCAUUAAAAAAUGGCAAGCUAGAAGUGAUCCCCCCAAUACCGCGUAACGAAGAUUAAUUUUUAUCGCUCGAACACGAAGUCGUGCUAUGUUUCAUUUGCGACGGCGCGACUAAUAUGGUCAACCGUUUUUGAGAUUGGACCACGACUACGUACGCGCCGAAUAUACGUUCUCUCGAGCCGGAAGAAUCAUUGCGGAUCUUUUUUCCGUAUAUAUAUAGUCGUACAUGGUGCGCUUAACAAUCUUAGCGUUACAUCGCUUGUAAAUUCUAAUGCUCCAACUCGUUUUGCGAGGUCGGCCCUGUCCUUUUUUAACCUCACAAUACAGUAAUGUCUCCCUUACUGACGCUCAGGUUGUCCACAAAAAUGGACAAUUUUGGAAGAGAAGAUACGAU